UACAGAGGGGGCAAGCGUUAUUCGGAAUUAUUGGGCGUAAAGGGCGCGUAGGCGGCUUUUCAAGUGAGGGGUGAAAUCCCUCGGCUUAACCGAGGAACUGCCUGUGAGACUGGAAGGCUUGAGACCGGGAGAGGUGAGUGGAAUUCCCAGUGUAGCGGUGAAAUGCGUAGAUAUUGGGAGGAACACCAGUGGCGAAGGCGGCUCACUGGACCGGAACUGACGCUGAGGCGCGAAAGCGUGGGGAGCAAACAGG
rnacentral:rRNA from 1 species